CAGUCGCCACGGUAAAACGUAGGUGGCAAGCGUUGUCCGGAAUUAUUGGGCGUAAAGGGCUCGCAGGCGGUUUCUUAAGUCUGAUGUGAAAACCCCCGGCUCAACCGGGGAGGGUCAUUGGAAACUGGGAAACUUGAGUGCAGAAGAGGAGAGUGGAAUUCCACGUGUAGCGGUGAAAUGCGUUGAGAUGUGGAGGAACACCAGUGGCGAAGGCGACUCUCUGGUCUGUAACUGACGCUGAGGAGCGAAAGCGUGGGGAGCGAACAGGAUUAGAUACCCCCGUAGUCCCUGUCUCUUAUAA
rnacentral:rRNA from 1 species